rnacentral:lncRNA from 1 species
AGACCAUUAGCAAGCUGCUGGGAGCUGGGGCUCCGGUUGCUGAGAACAGGCUGGGCUCAGAGCUGCCAGCCAGCCCAUCGAUCAUGGAUUUCACCGGGAUGCUUUCUGACCUUUCAAGGUUAGUGAAGACUCAGCAGUCACAUACCGUUCUGUGAUUAAAUGUCUCAAUCCUGAGCACGGUCUAUUAUUUUGCAAUUCAGAGAAGAAAAGGGACAGUACUUAGUAGCAAGGUGGUUUUUAGUGACAGCAACACGAUGACACGGUUUAAAAGGUUUUAAAGAAACAAAGAUGGUUACAACUCUCACAAGUUCUAUUUUUUGCAUAUUGUUUUGUUUUUUAUAUUUGUGUAGCUAUGCUGCUAUUUUCUGCACUUAAUAGCACAUAUUUUUUGUUGAAGUAUAGUUGACACGCAACGUUACGUUAGUUUCAGGUAUACAACGUGGUGAUUUGACAUCUCUAUACGUUAUUCAGGCUCAUCACAAGGGUAACUACCAUCUGUCACCAUGCAACACCAUUACUACGUCAUUGACUAAAUUCCCUAUGCUGUACCUUUCACCCACGUGACUUAUUCACUCCGUAACUGGAAACUUGUAUCUCCCACUCCCCUUCACCCGUUUUGCCCAUCCUCCUCACCGCCCCCCCCCCCGCCGCCCCUCUGGCAACUACCAGUUUGUUCUAUUUAUGGGUCUGUUUCUGCUCUUUUUUUUAUUCCUGCUUUUCUUCCCAUCUGUUUGUUUAGUUGUUUCAUUAAGCAUUUUUUAAAUGUUUAUUUAUUUUUGAGAAAGAGAGAGACAGAGCACAAAUGGGGGAGGAGCAGAGAGAGAGGGAGACACAGAGUCUGAAGCAGGCUCCAGGCUCUAACCUCGAACCCACGAGCCGUGAGAUCGUGACCUGAGGUGAAGUCGGACGCUUAACCGACUGAGCCAUCCAGGUGCCCCUAGUUGUUUUGUUUCUUAGAUUCCACCUAUAAGUGUAAUUGUGUGGCAUUUGUCUUUCUCUGAUGUAUUUCACUUAGCAUAACACCCAUUAGGUCCAUCUAUGUUGGUAAGAUCUCAUUCUUUUUUUUUUUUUUCUCAUUCAUUUUUAUGGCUAAUAUUCCAUUGUAUAUAUACACUGCCUCUUCUUUUUCCAUUCAUCUAUUGAUACGCUUAGGUUGCUUCCAUAUCUUGGCUGAUGUAAGUAAUGCUGCAAAUGGGGAUGCACAUCUUUUCAAAUUAAUGUUUUUGUUUUCUUUGGGUAAAUGUCCAGUAGUGGCAUUAUUGGAUCAUAUGGUGUUUCUAUUUUUAACUUUUUGAGGAACUUCCAUAUUGUUUUCCACAGUGGCUGCACCAGUUUAUAUUCCCACCAACAGUGCAUGAAGGUUCUUUUUAAAGAUUGGAUUAUUUGUUUUUCUGAUGUUGAGUUGUGUAAAUUCUUUAUAUAUUUUGGAUAUUAACCCCUUAUUGGACAUAUCAUUGCAAAUAUCUUCUCCCAUUUCAUAGGUUGCCUUUUAGUUUUGUUGAUUGUUCUCUUUGCUGUGCAAAAGCUUUUUAUUUUGGUGUAGUCCCAAUAGUUUGUUUUUGCUUUUGUCUCCCUUGCCUGAGGAGACAUAGCUAGAAAAAUGUUGCUAAGGUCGAUAUCCGAGAGAUUAGUGCCUAUGGUUUCUUAAUAACACAUACUAUUUAAUUAGUAUUUCCCUACGUUUCUAAACAAUCUUUAUAGUAGUUUCAAAGACUGCCUAAUCCAUUGAAUUGAUUGCAUCACAGAUGACGUAUCACCUCCUUACUCGUUGCAUGUAUAGGUUUUUGCAGAGGUCAUGUAGUUGAAGAAGGUGCCUGAGAAUGCAGUACUCAUUAGUGGGGUGGGAAGGGGGACCACGGUGAAGGUGCUGGUACCCACUGCCACAUAAAGGCAAUGGGUACCUUGGGGUGGGCUUGUAACAGGACAGAAACAAACCAUUCACCUAUAUUUUGCGCGAGACUAGCCCUGGUUCUAUGUACAUCAACUCACACUUCAUCUUAAAAACAAAAAACAAAACACAAAACACAAACCAAAAAUCUUAUGUAAGAAAAAAAAUGUUGAGGCAUGUGUCGUUUUUAGUAUUGCAGGAAUCACAUGGUAUCCCAUCAAGGUCCAAAAGCCAGAGCCCACUGGUCAGCACGUGGUAGAACUUCUGUUAGGUUCCAGGACUAGCAUGGCUGCUGCUGGGCUUUGUGGAGUGGGUAGUGUACAGACUUCCUGCUCCUCCCAUCCUUUAUCCCAUAGCUAUGGCCCCUGGGCCCUGCCCAACUGCCUGGGAACAUCCCACUGCUGGUCCAGGGAGAGCUGAUUAGCCUUAGGCAUAGACAUAGGAAUCGCCUGGGGGAGGGGUACUGAAAGUAGAGAUUCUUAGCACAGCCCCCCCCCACCCCCCCUCCCCAUGCCAUGCAUGGCUCCCCAUUCCAUGAAGGUCCAGAGAUCUGGGACGGGGCCUAGGAGUUAGCAUUUUGACAAGUAUGCUGAUUACCCUGAUACAAUGAGCAACUGUGAGACACACAACCUCCGGACAUAGCUUAGGACUUGUAGUCAAGGCUACUUUCUGGCUGGAAGGUGCUCCUGAUGCUAUCGCUGGGUCCCCACCAGUGUACCCUGGCCACUUCUUGGGGAACGGGGCUUCUGUGUGACUGCCCCAUGCCUCCCAGAUUCUGGCUGGGCCCAAGUACUGGCUCAUGGACCACCAUGACCCUGGCCACUUUGCAUCCUUAUACUGCCUGGCUAUCGGAGAACUCACCAGGUGGCUACUUGGAGUGACACCCACCAACCUGCAACCUGCACGCUCUCCUAUCUUGUCAACGUCUCCCCACCCUGUACUCUAUGGGCCUUCUCUCACCUGCUACCAGGCCCACCCCAGGAGCCAUGUCCUCCCCACCCUCCAAACACAUCUUAUCUCCAGUCGUACUUCUCCUCAGCCAGCCCGUCCGCCUGUGAAAACAUUGCUCUCCAGUCAGAACGUAGACAGACAUCCCAGGAGCUCUUAUGGAUGCCUUGUUUGGCAGCUACUCAGUCUCCUUCCAGCUCCCAUGUUUUCAGCCUUUCUGAAAAACAACACGUGUGUCUCACAGUCAUUUGGGUCCUUCGUGAAUCAUCUCCAAAACAACACCCUUUCCCAACCUCCACCGUGCCCUAGUCCGUACUCUGAUCUAGGACGUUAUGAUAUCUCUGGGCUCAAGAAGUCCUCUCAACCAUCAGCUCUUUCACAUUUACAAACGGAUGAACAUGAGGCCAAAUAUGGAUAGUUACUGUUGGAGUCAGUCAGUCAAACCAAAUAAAUGUGAUAUAUGUAAUGGGGCCUCCUAAUUAUCCUGCUUUAUAGUAUUUAAUCAUGAAUAAUAGUAAGCAGUAAACUCUAGUUACAGUGCUGUAUUGCUGAUGACUCAGAUAUGCAUUUGUAAAUUAGACCGGACCUCUGAUUCAUCAGCCAAUAAAGUAUGAACGUGUACUUAGUUGCAUGUGCCUGCAAUGGGCUUCUUUCACCACUAGAAGGCAAAGGUGCAGUUGUUUCUGCCUCUUUGUUUUUCUGGUAGCUUAAAGCUCUGUGGGAAGGUGCCAGAGAGGCCGAGGGUUCCUAGGCUCCUGAAGUCCAGAAGAGGGUGGAGGCAGGGGGGCCACUGAGGUGGGAAAAGGAGGAAAUCGACAUUUACUGAGAGUUCACCGCGCACUAGACUCUGCGUUGGUCAUUCAUGCAUACGUUUAUCGUUUAGUCCUUUCAGCCACUCAAUUUACAGAUGAGGAAACAGAAUCAGGGGGACAGAAUGACCUGCCCAAGCUAACAGAGCCAAUUCUAGUGGGAGCACAGAUUUAAACAGAAGGCUGUCUUGGUUCCAAAGCCUGUGUGCUUUGACCCAUAAAUAACACCAGAAGGGGAAGGCUAGGGUGCCCCCUCACAACUGGGCUUUAUUUUUAGGACUGACCUGUUCUUAUCACCUGUGCUCAAACCACAGCUGUCUGUGAACUUCCUGCUUCACACAGCUGUGUGUGCAUUUGCCUCCAGAAAUGGUGCCUUGGAAGCCUGGAAUGGCUCCUUUCUUUCCUGAAACUGAAAUAAUCAAGUAUCCUUCUAGGGUCAGGCCUUGAAUCCUAAAAGACCGACCGGACAUCCUAGCCUAGGGCUCUAGAAAUGGGUGUGAGCGGCUGCCAUCAGUCCUGCCCAGGCAAGGGUGCUGGCGCCCGGGCCUCCUUGUUCUGACCUUCCGCACGUCCAGUGCCACCGAUUUUGGUCAAAGUUGUAUUGAUCUACUUUUGUUCAGUUAUGUGUAUCAUUUUGAAGAAUACACCAUGAACAGUUCUACUCCUGGGUACAUGCACAGAAGAAAUGAAAACAGGGACUACAGAUAUCUGUACCCCAGAGUUCACAGUGGUGUUAUUCACAGGAGCCCAGUGGUGGAGUCAGCCCAUGUGUCCACUCACUGAUGAAUGGGUAGACAAAAUGUGUAUACAUACAAUGGAAUAUUAUUCGGCUGUAAAAAGGACAGAAAUCCUAGCAUAGGCUAUAACAUGGAUGAACCUUGAAGACAUUAUGCUAAGUGAAAGAAGCCGGUCACAAAAAAGAUAAACCUCGUAUGGUUUCCCCAGUAGGAGGCACAUAGAGUAAUCAAAUUCAGAGAGACAGAAAGUAGAGCAGUGGUUAUCAGGAGCUGGGAUGGAGGGGAAAAUGGAAGAGUGGUGUUUAAUGGGUACAGAUGGUUUCAGUUGGGGAUGAUGGAAAAGUUCUGGAAGUGGGUGGUGGUGAUGAUUGCACAAGGAUGUAAAUUAUUUAAUACCACAGAACGGUACCUCGUAAAAUGGCUAAAAUGGAAAAUUUAAUGUCAUGUACAAUUUACUAUAAUUUUUAAAAUUGUGCCGAAUAUUUCACUGAAAAUCUCAGUCAAAAGCUGUUGGUGUCCUGUCCCUUAAAGGAGCCUUGUUUCCCACCAAUUGCAGCCAAAGGUGUGCAUCCCAGGGCAUAAAGGAAGGCCCUGUUGUCUGGUUUGGCAAAUAGGGGACCCCAGAGAAGGUUGACCCCCUGUACCAUGCCCUUGAACGCUCUUGAGAUGCCCUCACGUCCCAGCCUCCCGUCAGACUGUGCCAGCGCCCAACCUGGAUAAUGACCAUCCCAGGCUGUUUCUGCUGCAGCCGUGGCCUUGCUGGAGGAAAGCCAUGUGCCAGCCAGCUGUACUUGCGAUUCAGGCUCUAACUCAGUGGGGACCUCCCUGUUGCUCAGAAAUCCCAUGUUUUCCAGCUCAAGUGCUAUCAGUAGCUCAUUCUCUACCAUGACUCUUCCAAAUUCUUUCUUUCAUUAAGCUCUAAGUUUUUCAACAUCCCCACAAAGCCUGCAGCAAGAUCUCUCACUUUUCUCUGUCACUGACUUUAUGUUCUUCUCCAUCUUAUCUCCUCCCUUUCUGUUUUGCUUGGAGCUGAUGCCCCAGGAGGAAGAGGGCCUUCCGUGGCCUGCUAGUUCCCUAUUAUAACUCAGCAUCAAUGAUUUUAGAUAUUGCGUUUUUUUUUUGUAAAUUUUUAAUGUUUAUUUUUGAGAGAGAGAGACACACACACACACACACCAACAGAAUGAGCGGGCAAGGGGCAGAGAGAGAGGGAGACACAGAAUCCAAAGCAGGUUCCAGGCUCCGAGCUGUCGGCACAGAGCCCGACGCGGGGCUGGAACUCACGAACCACGAGAUCAUGACCUGAGCUGAAGUCGGAUGCUUAACUGACUGAGCCACCCAGGCGCCCCUGGAUAUUGUGGUUCUGAGUAAGGUUUGCCUGAAGGAAGUUUCUGUCAUUAAAAAAAAAACAAACAAAAAACAACUGUCUUUAAACAGCACUGACUUGGAGGACCAAGUACUUGUUUUCUUUUACAGCUGACUUCACCACUGCCCCGUCCCCUCUUCUCCAGGGCAGUGAGGCUCCGUUGCCCUUUUUCACCAUCUCUUACCUACAAACAUGUUCAAAGGUAUACACCCUAAAACCCAUUUUCCCUUGACCCUGAACCCCCUUCAGCUUGCCACCCAGCCCUCCUCUCCUUACUGCCAAACGUAAUGAAAAAGUUAAGAAAGCCUGUCCCCGUUUUGUGACCGUGCUCUCAGCUUCUCAUAGCCUGGCUUCUGCCCGCCCGAAACUCUUCUUCUGAGACCACCGCCCCUGCCUUGCCCUGCACAGGACAGUUGCCACUUUCCAUCCAAGCCUCGGGACCGUGCUCUCCUCUGCGCCCUCAGUUCCGCCACUUUUCCCGUCAUUUGCUUCCUCUCCUCUGAUGUCAACAGAUCGUGCAGUGAGUUUCUGCCUUCAGCCCUCUUGUCGGACACUUCUGCCUUUGUAGCUACAGGCUUUGAAUGGCUGGCUCUCCCGCGAAGUCUUGCCUGGUCGCUCAAGCCUCUGGCUGGACUGGGCCACUUGCACCGAACUCACUGCUUCCCAAGCUAACCCUUCACUUUCACCUCCUCAUCCAGCCCAUUUCCUGUCCCCAUUGCCAGCAUGCCCAGGGCUCUGUCUCAGGGGGCUUUAGCCCCGGAAUCAUCUAUGACUCCUUCCUCCCACCCGACACCAGUCAAUCACCAAACCCUAUCAGUUCUGCCCCUGUGACCUUCCUCCCAUCUUUUCCUUUCUGCUCACUUGCAGACACCCCCGCUGUAUCAAGCUCUCUUGGCUCCUCCCUAGCCAGGCCACUCCUUCCUGUCUUCCCCACUCUGUCUCCAAGGUCCUGUCACUGUGCCUUAUUCUUUUUUCUCUCUUUUUAUUUUAUUUUAUUUUUUUCCUCAAAGAAUUAUUUAUUUAUUUUUAACUUCUUUUUUUUUUCAAUAUAUGAAAUUUAUUGUCAAAUUGGUUUCCAUACAACACCCAGUGCUCAUCCCAAAAGGUGCCCUCCUCAAUACCCAUCACCCACCCUCCCCUCUCUCCCACCCCCCAUCGACCCUCAGUUUGUAUUUCUCUCUUUUUAAAAACUAUUUAUUUUGAGUGAGUGAGAGAGAGAGAGAGAGAGAGAGAGGGAAUCCCGAGCAGCCUCCACGCUGUCAGCACAGAACCUGACGUGGGGCUUGAUCCCAUGAAUGUGAGAUCAUGACCUGAGCCGAAAUCAAGAGUCUGAUGCUUAACUGACUGAGCCACCCAGGCGCCCUGGUGCCUUAUUUGAAAGCAUAGCCCGGCAGACCACUGGAGCUAUGAACCCUUCCUGGCUCCACUCCCCCUUCCCACCAAAUCUCUCCCUGCCCUCGCUCUGCAUGCUCUGGACCAGCCUCACCAGACCGCUCACCGCUGCCCACGUGCACCAGGGGCUUCCCCACCUCUGCCAUCUGGCUUCCACCGGCUCCACAGCCUGAAACACCUCCCCAGGGGUCAUCUCCGACAAAACCCGUCCUUUAAGGGCCAAGCAAGUGAUCCUUCUGGCCGGACAUGGUGUCUUCCUCCUCCUGACUUUGGUAGCACUGGUUCCCCCAUUUUUAAGUGUUCUGCCUUGUGGGAUAAUCCUCUCUGUCUCUCUGUGUCUGUGUCUGUGUCUCUCUCUCUCUCUCUUCUCCCCCUCCCCCACCCCGUGCUGGGAUGCCAGCUCCUUGCAGCAGAAACCCUGUCUUAGUCAUCUUUGUGUCCUCUUCAGCGUCUUAUGCAAAGUAGAUGCUCAAAACUACUGGUUAGUUUGAAUGAAGAAGAUGAUCUUAACUUCAGAUGGGGGUGGGGGGGGUGAGGCGAUGUCACUUCUGUCAGUGCCUCUCUCUGGUUUCCACCAACAAAACACUUGGUCAGGUCACCUCUCAGGCAGUGCCGUUUCCUUGUUCUCUGGUCUCCUGCCACAACUAUCUUGGCACAACGUGGGGCACCUCAGAGUCUCUCACCAUGGCCUUGUUAUACUUUCUUCCUUUGAUGGAGUUACAGAGAGUCUAAAUUACCCUUUGCUAGCUUGCCCCUCUUCCUGGUCAGCCCCUCUGCGUCCCUGGUGGGUUUCCUGGAUGCUAUCAGGAGGGGCCUGUGCCUCUGUCAGGGCUCCUGCGGCAUGGAAGGCCCCAGGCCACUCCCAGAGCACACGUGGUGGGCUUUCUCUUGUUCCCACAGGAACACCCGGUUACUCACCAGGGUGAAGAGCAGGGACAAUGAAGUUUUAAAAAACUUUACUAUAAAGGCAGCAUAUAAGGAAGAAGAAAAACCUUCACUAUGAUCUCAGCUCUUUUAUACAACGAUUUUCAUGUUUGCAUGUUUCUUUCUGGCAGGGUCCAUUUUUAUACAGCUCCGGAAAUAAUAUAUAUAUAUAUAAUAAUCUAUAUAUAUAUAUAUAAAUAUAUAUAUAAUAUAUAUUAUAUAUAUAAUAUAUAUUAAAUAAAUAUAUAUAUAUAUAUAUAUAUAUAUCAUAUUCCCCUAAUUAGGGAAUCCUGAACACUUCCCUGUGAUUCUACACCUUUCAGAAUAUUUCUUGUAAUGGCUAUAUAAUAUUGCCCAGGCAAUAAUUUAUCUUUUUAUUGCAUAUUCAGAUUGGUGCUGAAUUUUUUUUUUUGACAUUGGUGGUGAUGCAUAUAGCUUUUAUCGUAUGUUUAAUUAUUUCAUUGGGAUAAAUUCCCAAGGAUGGGAUGACAAAGUCAAAGAACAAACAUUUUUAUGACUCUUGAUUCUUAUUCCCAUUUGCAUUCCAAAAGUGUUGUACUGACUUACAGAGAAUAGUAUUUCAGUGCUACCAGAGUCCAUUUUGUUGCUAAUGCCUACUCAGAUUCAACAAAUAUUUGGCUGCUUACUAUGUGGGAGGCACUUACAUAUUUAUUUAUGCAUUAAAAUAUCUUCCUAGGACCUUAUAUAGGCUUUCAGAGUUGGCGGACACCUGCUCAUUUUACAAAUGAAGACACGAAACCCAGAGAAAUUAUGUACAGUGUUCAGCAUUGCAUGGUCUGAAAACAAUAGCACAUAUACAGUAAGCCUUGAGUGUCUGGCCUUUGAGCCCCGGACACUGCCCCCGGCCUUUGAGCCACGUCCAGCUGGUGCAGUGUGGGUGUUUGUUUCUUUCCCAUUAAUGCAGCCGAGAAGUGACAGCGCGUUGUCCUCUGGCCACCGCCAACCCGGACAAUCUCCUGUAUGGCAUAUGUUUGGUCAAUAGAAGUGGGAAAGCUCCAGACCUCUAAGACCCCCACAGCUAAGCCAAGACCUCUGAUGAGUAAUGGAAGACUUAUUUUCCAAAAAGGGGGACUUCUUUACCCCUUCUGGGUGUAAUUCCCACAGACUGUGGCAUAUUAAGCAUGAAGCGGCCUGUAAUUCCCUGUCCUCCCCCUUCCCCCAUGCCUACGCUUACCCCCAUGCCUCCUACCUUGCGGUGCCAGGGAUAACCUUUCUGUGGCCUUCUAUGCGCUCACUCUUUCAUCUUUAAGUACCAGCUCUUCCAAGAAGGCUUUUUUAAAUCUUCCCGUGAGUCAGUUAUCUAUUGCCGUCUAACAAAACCAUCCUGAAACUUUUUACUCAAACUAGCAAUGAUGUAUAAUUUCCCAUGAUUCUGUGGAUUGACUGAGUAGUUCCUCUGCUGGUUUCACCUGAACAUACUCAUUCAACAUAGGGUAGGAAGGGCUGGAGGGGCUGAUGGUCAAGAUGUCUGGCAGUUGUUGGCUCACACCUGGGGCACCUCAGUUCCCCUUCAUGUGGUCUCUCCUCCUCCAGUAAGCCGACGGUCUUCCUUACGUGGCAUCUCAGGGCGAUGUUCUAACGUGCAAGUGCCCGUCAAGCCUCUGGUGCAUCAUUGUCCCACUGGCCAAAGCAAAUCCCAAGGCCGCACUGAAAGUCUAUGGGGGAGGGAGACACACACAGCGGGGAUACUGGGAGAUACCUAGUGGGUAUACUGGGAGGCAUGCUUAAGAGGACCACUCCUCUAACAAAUGGCUCACAUCCCUUGCACGUGGGAUGCCCUCACUCUUCCCGGUGCCCACACGCCUCAUCCAAUCAGGGGCCCAGGCUCACAGAGGAGGGCCUCCGGAUCCAAUCAGAUUCCGGUUUGUGCAAGGCUCCUCGCUUGCAGCUCCUCCCUGGGUCCCCUUGGGUCAAGGACGGUGAACUAAAAAGAGAAUCAUCUCCUCGCCUCACAUCUCACAGUGGUGAGAGAGGGCCUGAGGACCUUGGUAAACACUCAGGUCCCAGGAGGGAGUGGAGGGAGACACACAGUGACUGGGCAAUUCUGAACCGAGCAGGAUCCGUGUUGUCGAGGCUCUCUACUUUGGAGGGAAGGAUGCUCGUGCGCCAGGGCCCUGCUAGCUCGCUGGGAGUGAUUCCUCAGUCGAUUGUUCUCUGUGCCUCUUCGCUCCGGAGAUACUCUUCCGGGUCUGUAAGAACUGUGUCUGCAGCUGAGUAGCUCUUUCUGCCCUUAGAUCGUGUGGAGCUGAGGGGGGAGGGAGGCUUUUUUCACUUUGAACUCUCCCUGUCCGAGGACUCCCCUAAAACGAUGUCGGCUUUUUUUUUUUUUUAAUCUGUCAGAGAAGAGUCUACUUUGUUAGACAAAAGCCAUUCCCACAAUUAUUUUAGAGAUGGUCCUCCCUCCACUUUGGGCAGCAUGUCAGAGAGCCACAGGGCAAAUGACCUCAAGAUUCUUAGAAGCUCCUUUUCCAGAGAGAGCUACUAGCACCACCUUAUAUCUUUCUGAGGUCUUAACAAAGAGUCACAGCCUCAAACUUGAUUUGGUCUUUACCCUGAAGCCAUCCAUGUCUUCCUUGGAGACUCCUGUGGGUUAGAGAGACUAGAAAUACGAAACACUUGACUCUGGUAGCCAGCACACCCCACACCUCCCGUCUUCCUUCUAAAUUCUGCUGGGAUGCUGAACAGUUCCUCCUUGCUGUCCCUUAUGGCAAAAGCUGCUAAAAAAGACAAUUUACGCUUUUAACAUUCUGCCUGGCAAUUCCCCGAGUCCGAAUCAUAAGCUUAUUAGGCCAGUUUUCUACCUUCUAAAUUCCUGCUGGGGCCGUUUCGCUGCUAGAAGACACAGGUGCCGCCUUUCCCCUCCUGCAGUAGAUUUCCCCCAAAACCUCCUGCCCCCCCUCCCAGCCUUCCUUUGCCACACAAUCCAAAGCCAAUACUACACGUUUCAUAUUUUUGUUAAGGUGCUAAUUCCUUCCAGGUACCAGUUUCUGUACACUAUCUAUUGGUGCGAAACAAAUCACUCCAAACUUUGAGUCUUAAUUAUUAUUCCUCUCAUCUUCACGGGUCAACUGGGAGGCUCCUUUGUUGGUGUCACUAGGGCCCCUCACAUGGCUGCACUUAAACUGUAAGAUCAACCAGACUGGAAUGUCCUAGAUGGCCUCACUCCACAUCUGGCAGUAGGAGCUAAUCAAUAGUGAGACUGUCUCCGUUUUCCUCCCUGUGGCCUCUUCAUAGGCUAGACUGGCUUCCUUACAUUAUGGUCACAGGGCAGUGUUUCAAGAGAGCAAGUCCUACUGUGCAAGUAUUUCCCAAGCCUCUGCUUCUGUCAUGUGUGCCAUUUGUCCCAACACACAAGGGCACGUGCACCACGAGGCAUGACCCAUUGGGGACCAUCACUGUUACAGUCUACUUUACCAUGCCUCUAGACUGAAUGGGUCUUCUCCUUUGGGCUCUCCUAGUGCCUUGAACCUCUACUAAAAUGCACUUGAGGGGCACCUGGGUGGCUCAGUCGGUUAAGUGUCUGACUCUGGCUCAGGUCACGAUCUCGAGGAUGGUAGGUUCUAAACCUGUGUUGGGCUCUGUGCUGACAGCUCAGAAUCUUGAACCUGCUUUGGAUUCUGUGUCUCCCUCUCUCUCUGCCUCUUCACUGCUUGCAUGCCUGCUCUCUCUCUCUCAAAAAUAAAAUAAACAUUAAAAAAAAAUUUUUUUUAAUACACUAUGGCACCUGGGUGGCUCAGUCAGUUAAGCAACCAACUCUUGAUUUUGGCUCAGGUUUGUGGGUUCAAGCCUCACAUUGGGUUUUGACAACGUGGAGCUUGAAUGGAAUUCUCUCUCACCUCCUUCUCUGCCCCUCCCCCACUCACGCUCUCACGCUCUCACGCUCUCUCUCAAAAAUAAAUAAAUAGGGGCACCUGGGUGGCUCAGUUGGUUAAGUGUCUAACUUUGGCUCAGGUGAUGAUCUCACAGUUCCUGAGUUUGAGACCUGCAUUGGGCUCUGUGCUGACAGCAUGGAGCCUGCUUCGGAUCCUCUGUGUCCCUCUCUCUGCCCCUCCCCUGCUUGCACUCUCUCUUUUUCUCUCUCAAGAGUAAAAUAAACAUUUAAAUAUAAAUAAAUGAAAUAUAAAAAAAGAAAUGCAUUUCUUCAAAAAAAUAAUACAAAUAAAGGCACUUAAUUAACAUAGUCUCUCUUUAAAGUCAGCAUUUCUGUUUAAUUCACUGCCAUCUGUAAGCUUUUUUUUUUUUUUUUUUGACUGGGAAAAUUAUUUUCUUUGGUGUGGGCAGGCGUCUAGUCUCACAACUUCCAGAGUUGCUUCUUGAUGCCAGUGGCCUUGGUGACCUUGAGCACAUUGCAGCACACAGUCUUGCUUGAGAGCUGGCACUCACCCACUGUGAUAAUGUCGCCAACAUGGAUGUCUCUGAAGCAAAGGGACGGGUGCAUGGAUAUGUUCUUGUGGUGUUUCUUGAAGCGGUUGUACUUUGGGAUGCAGUGGAGGUAGUCUCAGUGGAUGAAAAUGGUCCUCUGUAUCUUCAUCGUGGCCACCACACCAGACAGAAUCUGCCCUCAGAUGGAGACAUUACCAGUAAAGGGGCAUUUCUUGUCACUAUAGGUGUCCUCAGUGUCCUCCGUGGGCAUCUCAAAAGCCCAGACUGUUUUUGUAGUAUUGUGGAAACUUCUCCUUGCCAAUUUCUCUAAGCAGGAUCCUCUUCUUAUUUUGAAAGAUGGUCAGCUGCUUUUGGUAGGCACGCUCAGUCUGAAUGUCCACCAUCUUCCCAGCCACCUGAGGAAGGGUCUGUAAGCUUCUUUAAGCAGAUAAUUUCCAGGUCUGUUUUCUAUCCCACCUUCUAUUUCAUAGGCUCAUAUACAGUAUGUGCUCAUUAAAUAUUAGCUGUUAGUGAGAAAGCCCUAGAAACACAGUGCAGGGCAUUGUAAUUUGUGUAGUGUUGGCAUGUUUUUCUUCUUUGAGGUUUCUCACCAAACACCAAACAUAGGUUCUCAACUUCCUCAGGUACAUGACUUUUCCAGAUUUCUGAAGAGCCGUGAAAGGAUGCUGACUGGUGAGAAUGUUUAAGAUAUGGUAGUCUACAUAUAGAAUACAGUCUCAUCCAUCAUAAUCACAUGUAACACCGGCAUCCCGGCCAGGUACAGACCCUCUGAGGUCCAACCCAAACCCAAGGCCUACAUCUCAUCUCUCAUAGCCACAGCUCUUUUGUGUCUGACCAUGAGUCCUGGGUUUUGGGGAACUUGAAAUCUAGUUGAGGAAGCAUAAUGGGUGUAUAUGAAACAACCGAAACUACUUACUUAAUCAACAUGUCAACAAAUGUAAAAAUCAAUACACUACAACCGGGCCUGGCAGGGUAGGAGAUACAACACAGACAUGGUCAGAAUGCAGUGAAGUUAGUUGUAAGACAGCCAUCUCCUUGGAGAAGGUGAAGUUUGAGUUAGAUCUAGAAACAGGGUAUGGACAGAUAUUGAUGGAGACAGUAAAGGAUGAUGUAAGUGGUAUUAGCAUCUAUGAAGGGACGGAGUCCAGUGAAUGAGAUAGGAAAUUAACAAUGUGCGGAAGGGAGUACGUAGAUCUGGAGGUGGGGAACAAAAAAAGAUUGGGGAAAUAAGUGGGGUGAUAGACAUGCCUUUAAAAGCCUCAGCAAAUGACACUGAAGGUCAUGUGGGUACCUGAGAUUGUGGGUGAAGUUUGUUUCUGGAAGUUUCCUCACUCUACAGUGGUUUUCCAUGCAGGGCAUUAAAGAGCGAGUACUGCAUAUCUAAGGGAGAAAUGGAGGAGGUGGGAGGCUGUCCUGCCAAGGGGGAGCCCAGAGCCCCGGGUGGCAGUGCCGGGCAGUUGCCAACACGGAGUGUGGGACUUGGCCCUCCUUGCGUUCCAUGUGGUUUGCUAUAGCUGUUGUGGCCCCUCCAGUUCCAAAGGGUGACUUUUUUUUUUUUUUUUCCUUUCUGCAAUUUGGGCUCUUUGCUCGGGCAUCUUUGCAAACGAUGGAGACUUUGUGAUGUGAGGAAAAGGAAGAACUUUCCUGGUAUACAGUUGUCCUAACCAAUCCUGGAAGCACCCUUAAUAUGACCUGAACUGAAGCCACAGAAGCCCCUGAGUAGGCCCAGAGAAGCACUCAAUAGUGGUGAUCCAAGCCCUAGAAGGAGUCGCUAUGGGGAACAGGAAGAGGUGGAGGCUGCCACGGGCUGAGCGCUGAAAUGCUGAGACGAGGAACGUAAUUGUGCCGACGUGGAGCAGAAGGGGGCUAACCGCAAGAUGAGGAAACUGGUAAAUGUGGAGAAGCAAAAAAGAGAUGGGACAGCUCAGCACUGGUGACAAGAAAGCACGUUCCUAUUCCUGGGGCUUGCUGGGCUCAUGCAUCCUUCUCUCUGGUUCUAGAGAGGAGCACAGAGGCAGUGCCUACAAGAGGAAGGGGCACGCAUAGCUCUCUUCUCUGUCCUCCCUCACGUGACAGCAGGGACCUGAAAAACUUAUCUUCCAAUGUCCAAGGCGGUCUGGUGACAUUCAGGAAGGUGAAGCAGCUCGGCGCGCCUGCCCCUGUCGCCCGUGUGGGGACAACCCGGGGUUGCACGCAGGCACGUGCGGGCACUGGGGAGCCGGCAGAGCCGCCUUGCUUCUUCCGCUGAGCUCAUCCCCAAAUGCCCUUUGCCCUCUUCGUACAAUCAGAACCUCUUCAAAUAACUAACUUCAACUUUAAUGGAGAAGUGCGGUGGUUCUCCACUUUGGCUGCACACUCGAUCACUUGCAGGCACUUUAAAAAAAAUGCAGUUCGUCUAGGAUGGGUCCGAGAUGUAGGGGCUUUUUCCGAAAGCAUACCAGGUGGGUGGUACAUUGAGAACAGCUGGAUUUGCUAAUCUUGAGCCACCUUAGACAGUUCGGUCAACAUGGAAUUUGUUGAUCUUUGGAGGUGUCUGAAAACACCACAAAAAGAAUUAGCCUUUGGGAAACCAGGAAAACCUAAGAGAUACCCUCCCUUGGAGACUGUGGCCCCUGGGUUGCCUUCCUGGGGAAAUUCUCGAGGUUCUCUAGUGUGCCGUGUGAGCUCUGGCAUCCUGAGCUUCGGCCUCCUGAGCUUCCCUCCAUAGGGCAGGAUGGGAGUUCUUCGCGUGAUCAUUGGCACACAGAAAAUACCCUGGCGGCUCAGUGUAGCUGUCUCUUCAUCCUGGCACCAUCCUGGACAGUUUUGUUGAAGAACACGAUUGCUGUCCGUAAUGUAAAUCUUACAAAGUCCCUUUUUUAUUUUUGUUUUUUAAGUUUACUUAUUUUGAGAGAGAGUGAGUGAGCAAGGGAGUGGGGGAGAGGCAGAGAGAGAGAGGAAGAGAGAGAAUCCCAAGCAGGCUCUGAGCUGUCAGCACACAACUCGCCUCGGGGCUCUCAUUCAUGAACCGUGAAAUCAUGACCUGGGCCGAAAUCAAGAGUCUGACGCUUAACCGCCUGAGCCACCCAGGCACCCCAGAAAGUUUCAUUCAGAAAGGUUUUCCAUGCAAUUUGUCACAGACUCAGACCUCACGUGAUACUAUGGAGAGUGAAAACACCCCUGUCUUAGCACCGCCCUCUUCCUGGCCAUCCCGUCCCCAGCCAGCCUCCCAGUUGGUCUUCUGUGCCGUCUUCAUUUCACGUUUGGACAAGACCGAGAACCAAUGAUUCAGCCUCUGGGGGGAAGGAUUUCCACAUUGUUACCCACUGUGCAAAACAGCCUUUCCCUUUUAUCUCUUCCAAAUUUGCCUCUUUCAACCACCAUCAGCCAGCCCUACCUGCCGGGAUUACAAGAUUUGGUGACCACAUCUGACCCGACUGUGCACACCUUUGGCAUGUCGCAUCUAAGCCCUCAUCCUCCCCCGAAGGCCAGAGUUUGGUUUUUGCUUGUCAUCAUGUAAGGAACACUCUUUCUGCUUGUCAUUUUAAUUACUCUCUAUUGAACCCUUUCCAGUCCUUUCACAUCGUCCGUGAGUGCCAGAGAACAGAAUGACACUCAUUAUGGCAUGAAUUUACUAUAAUUUGAUACAAGGAUGGGAUUGUGAUAUUUUGUUUCCAGUAUUCUUAUCUGCAUGUUAUUAGGGAUUUUUUGGUGGGGAUUGAAAGGCAGGGCUGUGGAAUCAGAACUUCAAGAAAUGGUUUUCAGGUUCAUUAAAUUAUUUUCCUUGAGCUGUGAUUAUCUUCUUGUUGCCCACACUGACUCAGCUGGCAGGUGUCUGGCCUCCCACGCAGCUCGCUAACAUCCUUCUGUAGCUUUACUUCCACUGCUGUCAGCUCACUACCUGGCCAAACUUGGUGUCACAAACGACCUUGGAGAUUCCACUGCGUACCUCUCCCUCGGAUCAUUUAUAACCGUGGAAAUUAAGACUUGGAUGUUCAAGCUGCCGAAUGAAAAUGAGACAGGUUCUAGGAGAGAUUUUGAAAACUAUUUUUUCCUGUUCUCAAAAAAGUGCAUGCUCAUUUAACAGUUUGAAAAUAUAAACAAAUACAGAGAAAAUUAAAAUCACUCCUGAUCCCCCCCACCCCGCCCCGAGAUAAUCUCUGCUAAUAUUUUGGUUUCUGUUCUUCCCAUCUUUUCUUCAGGAAGGACAACACACACACACACACACACACACACACACACACACACACCCCUACAAACUUUUUCCCUCUUUUUUUUUUUUAAACACAAACACUGAGAAACAAAACAUUAUGAGUAAUUGGCAAUAACUGUAAUUUACUACUGCAAUUAACUACCUGAUGCUCUCCCAGUCUUCCUCCCACAGGGUAACUAUUUUCUCCUAGUCUGAGUUUAUUUAUUCCCUUGCUUUAUAAAAGUGAUUUUAUAAAUUGUGGAUUUAAAAAGUGAAUUCAUAAAUUGUUUGGGUUUGCUUGAUUUUAAGCUUUAUAAAAAUGGUAUCAUGCUGUAAUCAUACGUCUCUUGCUUUUUUCACUCAAAAGCACAUUGGGUCACUUUAUCCAAGCUGUUCUGUGUAGAUACAAUUCUUUCACUGUGGCUGUUGCUUAAUAUUUCCAUUGUGGAGAUACCCACAAUUUAUGCAUUCAUUCUUCUCUUGCUGGUCACUUGGAUUAUUAGUCUUUUGCCAUUAUGAGCAGCGCUUGUACAUGUCUCUUGGAAAAUGUGUCAAGAAGUCUUUGGGGUGAAAUCAUUGGCUACAAAGCAUGCAAAAAUUUCAGCUUCAUGAAGCAUUGCCAAACUAGCUGCACCAAUUUACAUUCCCGGGAAUCAGUGCAUAAGAGCUUCCAACUGAUCAACCUCCUGUCCAACAUUUGGAAUCAUCAUCAUAAUUUUUUUCUUAAUGUUUAUUUAUUUUUGAGAGAGAGAGAGAGUGAGAGCGAGAGGAGAGAGCAACCUGGGGAGGGGCAGAGAGAGAGGGACAGAGGAUCUGAAGUGGGCUCUGUGCAGUGAGCCUGAUGCAGGACUUGAACUCAAGAACUGCAAAAUCAUGACCUGAGCCAAAGUCAGACACUCAACCGACUGAGCCACCCAGGCACCCCUGGGAACUGUCAGACUUUACAACUUCUGCCUCUCUAGUGGGUUUAUAAUAUUGUAGUAUUAAUUUGCAUUUUCCUGAAUACUAAAGAACUUGAGGAUCUUUUCAUACAUACACUUGCCAUAUGUGUUUGCCCUUCUGUAAAAUGUCUGCUCAUAUUUUUGACCCUUUUCCUCUUGGGUUGUUUGUCUCUCACACAUAUUGUUAAGCAAAAUUUGAAUCAUACUACACAUACCAUUUUGUACUUUUCCAUGACAUGAAACAUUCUUUUACACUGUUAUUUUAAUGACUGUGGCACCUUCUAUUUCAUGGCUAUCUUGUGAUUUAAUCAAAGUCUUGUACCUGUAUAUAUUUUUUCAAUUUUAUUUUUUAGAAAUAGCUCUGGUAAGAUAUUCUAAUGCAUAGAUUUAAUUAUACAUCACUAAAUAUUUUUAUUAAAAAAGUUUCAAGGAUUUGGAUUUCUGGGUCAAAGGAUAUCAACGUUAAAAAAAUGAUAUAUAUUUCCAAAUCCCUUUCCAGAAAGGUUGAUUAAUUUAUAUUCUCCAAAAAACUCUUUAACACUGG